GACAUAUGAUGUGAUGCUCCAGAGUCAAGGAUCCAUAUAGAAGAAAUACUUGAACAAUUAGAAGGAGUCAAACCUUUAAUAGAGGAGACAGAUGUUGCAUGUGGCUGGGUGGCGAGAAAUUUUUGGAACUGUUCAGCAAGAUCAAACACUCUUGAAGUAGUCUCAUAUGGAUAUACAUGAUCAAUACCAAUGCCAACGGAAGAAGGGUCAGUCAAACGAGAUAUA
rnacentral:lncRNA from 1 species